UACGGGGGGAGCAAGCGUUGUUCGGAUUUACUGGGCGUAAAGGGCGCGUAGGCGGCCACCGCAAGUCGGUUGUGAAAUCUCCGGGCUUAACCCGGAAAGGUCAACCGAUACUGCGGGGCUAGAGUGCAGAAGGGGCAACUGGAAUUCUCGGUGUAGCGGUGAAAUGCGUAGAUAUCGAGAGGAACACCUGCGGCGAAGGCGGGUUGCUGGGCCGACACUGACGCUGAGGCGCGAAAGCUAGGGGAGCGAACGGG
rnacentral:rRNA from 1 species